rnacentral:rRNA from 1 species
UACGGGGGGGGGCAAGCGUUGUUCGGAAUUACUGGGCGUAAAGGGCUCGUAGGCGGCCAACUAAGUCGGAUGUGAAAUCCCCAGGCUUAACCUGGGAACUGCAUCCGAUACUGGAUGGCUUGAAUUCGGGAGAGGGAUGCAGAAUUCCAGGUGUAGCGGUGAAAUGCGUAGAUAUCUGGAGGAAUACCGGUGGCGAAGGCGGCAUCCUGGACCGACAUUGACGCUGAGGAGCGAAAAGCUAGGGGAGCAAACAGG